rnacentral:lncRNA from 1 species
UGACGGUGAUCGUUGUCGCCGCGUCUUCUGUGGAACCCAAGCAGUGCCGAAGGAAGUCGCAAGGCUCUUCCCCGACCUUUUGCUCCUCUCCCUGCGCGAGACACUGGGAUUCGUGGCAUGAGUCACCAUGUCCAGCUUCUUUGUGGUUUGUUUGAUGUUUCUGUUGUCCUUAGAGACUCAUCUAAGGUAUCACUGCUUCUAGAGCCAGCGAUUGCAUAAGGCCCCUUGAUUGAAUUUAAACAGUCUCCUAGAUUGAUUCUGCCUCCCAACAAGAACAAACUGAGGAAGUGAUGAGCCACGUAGCCGGUGACCCUUAGAGUUUUAGAUUUGAGGUUCCCUUCAUGUAUACUUUACAGAAAACCAGCUAAGCCGGGCGUGGUGACGCGCGCCUUUAAUCCCAGCACUCUGGAGGCAGAGGCAGGUGGAUUUCUGAGUUCGAGGCCAGUCUGCUCUACAAAGUGAGUUCCAGGACAGCCCCAGGGCUAUACAGAGAAACCCUGUCUCGAAAAAAAAACAAAAAAAGAAAAAGAAAACCAGCUAAAGUAGAGAAAUGUUUCUUAAGUAGUGAUUUAUAUUAGCUACUGGGAUUAUAAUGCUAAGCU